rnacentral:rRNA from 1 species
GACGAACGCUGGCGGCGUGCCUAAUACAUGCAAGUUGAGCGCUGAAGGUUGGUACUUGUACCCACUGGAUGAGCAGCGAACGGGUGAGUAACGCGUGGGUAAUCUGCCUUUGAGCGGGGGACAACAUUUGGAAACGAAUGCUAAUACCGCAUAAAAACUUUAAACACAAGUUUUAAGUUUGAAAGAUGCAAUUGCAUCACUCAAAGAUGAUCCCGCGUUGUAUUAGCUAGUUGGUGAGGUAAAGGCUCACCAAGGCGAUGAUACAUAGCCGACCUGAGAGGGUGAUCGGCCACAUUGGGACUGAGACACGGCCCAAACUCCUACGGGAGGCAGCAGUAGGGAAUCUUCGGCAAUGGACGAAAGUCUGACCGAGCAACGCCGCGUGAGUGAAGAAGGUUCUCGGAUCGUAAAACUCUGUUGGUAGAGAAGAACGUUGGUGAGAGUGGAAAGCUCAUCAAGUGACGGUAACUACCCAGAAAGGGACGGCUAACUACGUG